UGAUGAUGAUGAUGAUGAUGAUGAUGAUGAUGAUGAUGAUGAUGAUGAUGAUGAUGUCAUCAUCAUCAUCAUCAUCAUCAUCAUCAUCAUCAUCA
rnacentral:pre_miRNA from 1 species